rnacentral:rRNA from 1 species
UAAGCGGAGGAAANGAACUACAAGGAUUCCCCUAGUAACUGCGAGUGAAGCGGGAAAAGCUCAAAUUUAAAAUCUGGUGGUCUUUGGCCAUNCGAGUUGUAAUUUAGAGAAGCGUCUUCCGCGCUGGACCGUGCACAAGUCUCCUGGAAUGGAGCGUCAUAGAGGGUGAGAAUCCCGUCUUUGGCAUGGACACACCAGGGCUUUUGUGAUGCGCUCUCGAAGAGUCGAGUUGUUUGGGAAUGCAGCUCAAAAUGGGUGGUGAACUCCAUCUAAAGCUAAAUAUUGGCGAGAGACCGAUAGCGAACAAGUACCGUGAGGGAAAGAUGAAAAGCACUUUGGAAAGAGAGUGAAACAGUACGUGAAAUUGUUGAAAGGGGAACGCUUGAAGUCAGUCACGUCGACCGAGACUCAGCCUUGCCUCGGCUUGGUGUACUUCUCGGCUGACGGGUCAGCAUCAAUUUUGCCCCUUGGAUAAUGGCGAGGGAAAUGUGACACCUUUAUGGUGUGUUAUAGUCUCUCGUCGCAUGCAAGGGUUGGGAUUGAGGAACUCAGCACGCGCCCUUUGGGUGUCGGGGCUUUGCCCACGAUACGUGCUUAGGAUGUUGGCAUAAUGGCUUUAAACGACC